rnacentral:rRNA from 1 species
ACGGGUGAGUAAUACGUGAGUAACCUACCUUUAACUCUGGGAUAAGCCUGGGAAACUGGGUCUAAUACCGGAUACGACCAAUCUCCGCAUGGGGUGUUGGUGGAAAGCGUUAUGUAGUGGUUAUAGAUGGGCUCACGGCCUAUCAGCUUGUUGGUGAGGUAACGGCUCACCAAGGCGACGACGGGUAGCCGGCCUGAGAGGGUGACCGGCCACACUGGGACUGAGACACGGUCCAAACUCCUACGGGAGGCAGCAGUGGGGAAUAUUGCACAAUGGGCGCAAGCCUGAUGCAGCAACGCCGCGUGAAGGAUGAAGGCCUUCGGGUUGUAAACUUCUGUCCUAGGGGAAGAAACAAAUGACAUUACCCUUGGAGGAAGCCCCGGCUAACUACGUGCCAGCAGCCGCGGUAAUACGUAGGGGGCGAGCGUUAUCCGGAAUUAUUGGGCGUAAAGAGUGCGUAGGUGGCACCUUAAGCGCAGGGUUUAAGGCAAUGGCUCAACCAUUGUUCGCCUUGCGAACUGGGCUACUUGAGUGCAGGAGGGGAAAGCGGAAUUCCUAGUGUAGCGGUGAAAUGCGUAGAUAUUAGGAGGAACACCAGCGGCGAAGGCGGCUUUCUGGACUGUAACUGACACUGAGGCACGAAAGCGUGGGUAGCAAACAGGAUUAGAUACCCUGGUAGUCCACGCCGUAAAC